rnacentral:rRNA from 1 species
AUUGAACGCUGGCGGCAUGCCUUACACAUGCAAGUCGAACGGCAGCAUGGAAGAGCUUGCUCUUCUGAUGGCGAGUGGCGAACGGGUGAGUAAAGCAUCGGAACGUACCGUGUAGUGGGGGAUAACGUAGCGAAAGUUACGCUAAUACCGCAUACGCACUGAGGUGGAAAGCAGGGGAUCGCAAGACCUUGCGCUAUACGAGCGGCCGAUGUCAGAUUAGCUAGUUGGUAGGGUAAAGGCCUACCAAGGCGACGAUCUGUAGCGGGUCUGAGAGGAUGAUCGGCCACACUGGGACUGAGACCCGGCCCAGAAUCCUACGGGAGGCAGCAGUGGGGAAUUUGGGACAAUGGGCGAAAGCCUAAACCAGCCAUGCCGCGUGAGUGAAGAAGGCCUUCGGGUUGUAAAGCUCUUUCGGCUGGGAAGAAAUCGCACAGGCUAAUACUCUGUGUGGAUGACGGUACCAGCACAAGAAGCACCGGCUAACUACGUGCCAGCCGCCGCGGUAA